AGCUUGGUGGUUAUAGCAUGAGUGAAACACACGAUCCCAUCCCGAA
rnacentral:rRNA from 2 species